GGGCCGUUAGCGUAGCCUGGCUUAACGCGUCUCCCUGUCACGGAGAAGAUCAGGGGUUCGAAUCCCCUACGGCCCG
rfam:Parcubacteria bacterium GW2011_GWC2_42_6 TV36_C0035, whole genome shotgun sequence.